rnacentral:rRNA from 1 species
GACGGGGCUGCUCCUUAGGUCAGCGGCGGACGGGUGAGUAACACGUGGGUAACCUGCCUGUAAGACUGGGAUAACUCCGGGAAACCGGGGCUAAUACCGGAUGCUUGAUUGAACCGCAUGGUUCAAUCAUAAAAGGGGGCUUUUAACUACCACUUUCAGAUGGACCCCCGGCGCAUUAACUAGUUGGUGAGGUAACCGCUCACCAAGGCGACGAUGCCUAGCCCAACUGAGAGGGUGAUCGGCCACACUGGGACUGAAACACGGCCCAAACUCCUACCGGAGGGAGCAGUAGGGAAUCUUCCGCAAUGGACGAAAGUCUGACGGAACAACCCCCCCUGAGUGAUGAAGGGUUUCGGAACGUAAAACUCUGUUGGUAGGGAAGAACAAGUACCGUUCGAAUAAGGCGGGACCUUGACCGGACCUAACCAGAAAGCCACGGCUAACUACCUGCCAGCAGCCGCGGUAAUA